rnacentral:tRNA from 1 species
GGCUUGAUAGCUCAGUUGGUAGAGCAGAGGACUGAAAAUCCUCGUGUCGGCGGUUCGAUUCCGUCUCAAGCCA